CACGGGGGGGGCAAGCGUUGUUCGGAAUUACUGGGCGUAAAGGGCUCGUAGGCGGCCAACUAAGUCCGACGUGAAAUCCCCAGGCUUAACCUGGGAACUGCGUCGGAUACUGGAUGGCUUGAAUCCGGGAGAGGGAUGCGGAAUUCCAGGUGUAGCGGUGAAAUGCGUAGAUAUCUGGAGGAACACCGGUGGCGAAGGCGGCAUCCUGGACCGGCAUUGACGCUGAGGAGCGAAAGCCAGGGGAGCAAACGGG
rnacentral:rRNA from 1 species